CAUGUAGGCGGAUUAAUAAGUUUGAAGUGAAAUCCUAUAGCUUAACUAUAGAACUGCUUUGAAAACUGUUAAUCUAGAAUGUGGGAGAGGUAGAUGGAAUUUCUGGUGUAGGGGUAAAAUCCGUAGAGAUCAGAAGGAAUACCGAUUGCGAAGGCGAUCUACUGGAACAUUAUUGACGCUGAGAUGCGAAAGCGUGGGGAGCAACA
rnacentral:rRNA from 1 species